GAUGAACGCUGGCGGCGUGCCUAAUACAUGCAAGUCGAGCGAACAGACGAGGAGCUUGCUCCUCUGACGUUAGCGGCGGACGGGUGAGUAACACGUGGAUAACCUACCUAUAAGACUGGGAUAACUUCGGGAAACCGGAGCUAAUACCGGAUAAUAUAUUGAACCGCAUGGUUCAAUAGUGAAAGACGGUUUUGCUGUCACUUAUAGAUGGAUCCGCGCCGCAUUAGCUAGUUGGUAAGGUAACGGCUUACCAAGGCAACGAUGCGUAGCCGACCUGAGAGGGUGGGAGGCCGCACGAGAGCGGGGACGCGGACCAGGGGAAUGCGGGAGGCAGCAGUAUGGAAUCGUCCGUAAUAGUCGGGAACUUGACAGAAUAGCUCCACGUGAGAGAUAAAAUUCUUCGGUGCGGAAAACUGUGUUAUGGGUGCAAAACAAAUGUGUAAGUAACUAUGCACGGCGUGACGGUACCGUAUAAGAAAGCAACGGCUAACUACGUG
rnacentral:rRNA from 1 species